UUGUAUUUAUUGAAAUGGUUGUUAGCUUAUUGUUUAUUCAAUUUAACGUAUAAACUUUAUCAGUUGAUUAUCUUGCUCCCGAUUUCAAAAGUAAUUAGGUCGGGGAAAAGAGAAAAAAGGGUUGCGAUUACUUGGAAAGGGAAGUGAAUGAAAUCACCUUAGCUUAGUUGCAGUCAUGGGUGCAUGUGUACAAAUGCACAUGCAUGUUUUCUUCUCCUGUAGUUGUGCUAUGGUUGAAUGUUACUUUAUUAUCUUUGAGGUUAUUUAUCUUUUGAAAAAAGAUGGAAAAAGCAAAAAAGUAAGGAUGGCUGAUCCCCUUUUUUCUACCGCAUCAGAGCCAAUAUUUCCAAUAUCAUCCUUGCUCAUAAAGUAACCAUUUUUUCCCUUUCUUUUAUCAAUAAUCUAUUUCUCUCUUUUGUAUUGCAGCCGUAAGCAUUUGCAACUUGGUCAUCUGUCUACUUUUUUAACCUUUACCUUCUACCUUUUCCCUCCCCCCUCCUUUCCCUUUUUUCUCUUUCUCUUUCACUUUGCAUGUUUCGCUCUUAAACCCUUUCCUUUUACACCAUUUCCCCUGUCUGGUUUUGUGUUUUUAAAAGCAAUACCUAAAUUAAACCGAUCCCAUUAGGAAUCCAGUUGGGUCUCUUCAUUUGUCCCUAGAAGAGAACUAUAUCCUCCCACCAUUAAAAUGGCCCAAGCAGCUUCCAAAUGCUUCUUUUUUUCCAUUAUGUCUCUCCUUGCCAUCUGCUCUUCUGGUAGAUUUGGUGGGUCGCAUUUGGGAGUGGAAGAAAAUACUUCCUUGCAGUUGAAAUGGAAGUUCAUUGAAUUUGGUCGGACUACAAUGCACGACGCCACAACAAAUUUUCCGACAACCCCGGACACCUCCACACCGACGAUCAUCACCGUUCCCUCGACCAACCCUGUCACUAUCACUCCGUCGAGCCCUGCGGCCACACCGGUGUCCAUUCCUUUAACGACACCAUUCACAGUUCCGGCUAACUCUCCGGUGCCGCUCACCAAUCCAGUUGCGCCGCCGGUUACAGUUCCCGGAGCACAGCCCAUAACGAACCCUGUAACGACAUAUCCAGCUCCGUCAGGUGGCGCUCCAGUGUUGACACCCCCCACAAACCCAGUUCCGGUAUCCCCUCCGGCGACAACAAACGCACCGGUAAUUCCAGGACAGAGCUGGUGUGUAGCCAGGUCCGGCGCUUCGGAGAUGGCUCUUCAGUCGGCGUUGGAUUACGCUUGUGGCACUGGAGGGGCUGACUGUUCUCAAAUCCAGCAAGGUGGAAGCUGUUACAACCCAAAUACACUUGAAAACCACGCAUCUUUUGCAUUCAAUAGCUAUUUCCAGAAGAAUCCUUCUUCUACAAGCUGUGACUUUGGAGGAUCUGCCAUGGUUACCAACUCCAAUCCAAGCACUGGCUCUUGCAUUUACCCAUCAUCAUCUUCCUCUGCGACGCCGGCAUCCAUGACGCCGUCGGUUCCAACACAGACACCGACAACAACAGCGCCGAUCACAGUCUCACCAACUACAGUUACAAAUCCAACAACUUCUUCACCCGUGGGGUCCGGCAUGCCAGAAAAUGGAAGUCCUCCUGGUGCAUUUAACACAGACAAUCCAGCUUCGAGCAUAGGCAGCACAACAGGGUUUGGAACUGAGAUCCCUCCAAGCUCAAGCACUUCAAUAUCCAUAGCGGCUGGAUUGAGACCCUUUACUUGCUUCAUCAUUCUCACCAUGUCCUUCAUCACUCACAGAAUAAUCACUCUGGACUGAUGAUGAAAUGAAAUCACCGACUUCUCCUUCUACUGUACAUGAAAAGGCCCUCGUUAUUCAUAGCUUCAGAAUCGUCGCCCAGUUCCACCAUUAGUGCAAUUUUUGGAGGAGAAAAAGGAACCAGAGUAAACAACAAGAGUACUUGGAACUUGGAAGGAAGAUUAGAAAGACCGAAGACUUGAGCAUUAAGCAUCAAUGUGAGUACACUUAAAUUAAAUCUUAGACUAAAGUUGAGGAACAAUCUUGGGACAAAAUAGUCCGAAUGCUGAUGUGAGAUCUACUCAUUUGCGGUGCCUAACUUGCAAAAAGAAUGUUACACACAGAAAACUAUGGUGAUAGGAAUGAAAUGAGGUGGAAAGAUCUCUACUUAUCAUUAAAGAAACAUUUAAAAGCUCUCUGGAUUUUUAUAAUCCAUUUAGAAACAAUUCCAAAUAUUGCAAUCAAACUCAAAUUAUUUGUAGCUAUGGCAUAAUGAUAAUGAUAAAGAAUUUGCAUACAUCAUAAAAUUAAAUUUAGUCCUCGAAAUCUACUAAAGAUAGAUCAUAGUAUUGGUAGGAGUUUAUCGAGACUUAUCACUAAUAAAUUUUGCUAUAUUAAAAUUUAUUGUUAUUUCAUUAUUA